GAACUGAAGAGUUUGAUCAUGGCUCAGAUUGAACGCUGGCGGCAGGCCUAACACAUGCAAGUCGAGCGGCAGCACGGGUACUUGUACCUGGUGGCGAGCGGCGGACGGGUGAGUAAUGCCUAGGAAUCUGCCUGGUAGUGGGGGAUAACGUUCGGAAACGAACGCUAAUACCGCAUACGUCCUACGGGAGAAAGCAGGGGACCUUCGGGCCUUGCGCUAUCAGAUGAGCCUAGGUCGGAUUAGCUAGUUGGUGAGGUAAUGGCUCACCAAGGCGACGAUCCGUAACUGGUCUGAGAGGAUGAUCAGUCACACUGGAACUGAGACACGGUCCAGACUCCUACGGGAGGCAGCAGUGGGGAAUAUUGGACAAUGGGCGAAAGCCUGAUCCAGCCAUGCCGCGUGUGUGAAGAAGGUCUUCGGAUUGUAAAGCACUUUAAGUUGGGAGGAAGGGCAGUUACCUAAUACGU
rnacentral:rRNA from 1 species